GACGAACGCUGGCGGCGUGCUUAACACAUGCAAGUCGAACGGAAAGGCCCUGCUUUUGUGGGGUGCUCGAGUGGCGAACGGGUGAGUAACACGUGAGUAACCUGCCCUUGACUUUGGGAUAACUUCAGGAAACUGGGGCUAAUACCGGAUAGGAGCUCCUGCUGCAUGGUGGGGGUUGGAAAGUUUCGGCGGUUGGGGAUGGAUUCGCGGCUUAUCAGCUUGUUGGUGGGGUAGUGGCUUACCAAGGCUUUGACGGGUAGCCGGCCUGGGAGGGUGACCGGCCACAAUGGGACUGAGAUACGGCCCAGACUCCUACGGGAGGCAGCAGUGGGGAAUAUUGCACAAUGGGCGGAAGCCUGAUGCAGAAACGCCGCGUGCGGGAUGACGGCCUUCGGGUUGUAAACCGCUUUCGCCUGUGACGAAGCGGGAGUGACGGUAAUGGGUAAAGAAGCACCGGCUAACUACGUG
rnacentral:rRNA from 1 species